rnacentral:rRNA from 1 species
UUGGGCACUCUAGCCAGACUGCCGGUGAUAAAUCGGAGGAAGGUGGGACGACGUCAAAUCAUCAUGCCCUUUAUGUCCUGGGCUACACACGUACUACAAUGGCCGUUACAACGGGAAGCGAAGGAGCAAUCCGGAGCAAAUCCCUUAAAGGCGGUCCCAGUUCAGAUUGUGGGCUGAAACUCGCCCACAUGAAGGCGGAAUUGCUAGUAAUUGCAGAUCAGCAUGCUGCAGUGAAUACGUUCCCGGGCCUU